ACAGAGGGUGCGAGCGUUAAUCGGAAUUACUGGGCGUAAAGCGCACGUAGGCGGCUCUGAAAGUUGGAUGUGAAAGCCCUCGGCUCAACCGAGGAAGUGCAUCCAAAACUGCAGAGCUUGAGUACUUAAGAGGAUCGCGGAAUUCCCGGUGUAGAGGUGAAAUUCGUAGAUAUCGGGAGGAACACCAGUGGCGAAGGCGGCGAUCUGGGAAGAUACUGACGCUGAGGUGCGAAAGCGUGGGGAGCAAACGGGA
rnacentral:rRNA from 1 species